GAGUGUGCACAGGUGAGUAACACGUGCGAACGUACCCUUUGGUGCUGAACCCACCUGGAAACGGCUGCUACCCCGCAAGCGCCCUACGGGGGAAAGAUUUAUCGGCGACCGAUUGGCCCGCGUCUGAUUAACUUUUUGGUGGGGUAAUGGGUCAUGCGUGCCACUAUCUAUAGCUGGUCUGAAAGGAUGAUCAACCACACUGGGACUGAGACAACUGCCAGACUCCUCCCGGAGGCUGCUACGGGGAAUAUUGCACAAUGGGCGCAGGCCUGAUCCAUCCAUGCCAUUGGAGUGAGGACGGCCCUCUGGUUGUGAAGCUCUUUCUGAAAGGAGGAUAAUGACGUUACUUGUAAACUUAAGCCCCGGCUAACUUCAUGCCAGCACCCGCACUGUUUUGAAUGGGGCUAACGAUGUUCGAAAUCACUGGUCCUAAAGCGCACGUACGCGGACUUUUAGGAUCCGGGUGAAAUCCCGGGGCUCAACCUCGGAACUGCCUUUGAUACUGGGAUUCUGGAGUCGGGGAGAUGUGAGUGGAACUCUGAGUGUAUACGUGCAAUACUGAUAUAUUCGAAAGAACAUGAAUGGCGAAGGCUGCUCACUGGCCCGGUACUGACCCUGAAGUGCGAAAGCAUGACGAGCAGCGCAGAUUAGAUACCCUGCUAUUCCUGACCCUCACGCAUGGAAGCUAGCGGAGCGAUGCAUGCAUCAUACCCUGCGCAGUCCACGCAUUAAGCUUCAUUGCUGGGGAGUACGCGUCGCAAGAUUAAAACUCUGAGGAAUUGACUUGAGGCACGCACCAU
rnacentral:rRNA from 2 species